rnacentral:lncRNA from 1 species
AAGAAAGCUACUCGGUGUUUCGAACCGACCAUGUCGAGUUUGAGUGUACGAAAUUACGAUCCUAACUUGUUCAUCGAUCAAAUUGAAGCUGCACUUGGCUUGUAUAUUCUUUCUUUUUAUAUUUGAUGAAAUGUUAUGUUAUUUGAACGUUGAUGUGAACUUCCAACCAUCACGUUUUUAUAUUUUGGAGUUUGCACACUUGGUAAUUAAGGAAACAUUGAGCUCAAAUAUCUCUGUCAUUUGAUGUUCUGUUUCAUGAUUAAUUAUUAAUCAAGCUAGCUAGCCAAGUUGAACACAGCUAGAAUGAUCGAUUAUGGCAUCAUUAAAGAAAAUUAAGGAGCAAAUUGCAAGUCUCAACUCUUUGGGCUUGAAUGGACCAGCCCAAGCUAAUAAGAAAACGGGCCUUGUAUAAGAGGCCCAACGAUCCGUGACUCCAAGUUCUUCGUAUUCCUUUCUCCAUUAAUCGGAUCCUUUUUCUCUGUUUCGACUUGCAAACCGAACAAAAGUCUUAUCCAAAGAAUCAAAAUGAACAGCUUUUCAAGCAAACUCUUUGCAAUUGAAUAAAAAGUCUCUCUAAGCCCUAGUGGUAGUGGUUAGGACCUUUCCCUGCUGCAACUGGUAAAACUUGCUUCUCUGCAGAAUUACUUCGUUGCUGCUGCAACUCAUCGAGAACAAUCUAAUUCUUCCGGCACUCACCAGAGCAAACUGCGCACAAGUAACUUCAUAUAGCAAGUAAGAACCAGAGUAACUUGUUUAGAUUUUUAGUGCUUUAACUUUACGUCAGAUUAUCAAAUAGAGUAGUAGUAGCAGCACUGACCCGUACAUAUAGACAUGGCCCAUGCCGAUUUCCUUGUGGCACAAGUAACAUUCCUUGAGAAACUCACGCCGAGGAUCAUGUGUCUGAUCUGCCGGCUCAUACGUUUGAAGGAGAUCCGACGGAUAACAAACUCGGACGAUGAUGCCAUUGUUUCUCGUCCGAUUCUGGAGCCUCAGCGGAUUCAGGCGGCUGCUGGACCUGCAGGCUUGGUGACCUCAUAACUCGGGAGCGCUUAGCCGCCAUGAAAGGGAUUAUACUAUAGCACUCGACGACAGAGCAAAAUUGGAUUCAAUCUGGUUUGUUUGUAGAGAGAGUUGGCUAGUUAUGUAAUGUGAAUACAGAGAGUUAGGAUUCCCGGUAGGGUGUAAACACUGCAUCCAGGUAUUGGAUUUGUAUUUGAACAAAUUUGCAUGGUUGAUCGGGAUAUAUUUGGUUUGGUUGAGAACCAAAAACCAAAAACUGAUAAAUACCCAUUAACCGUUUCGAGACUUUUAAUAUAAAGUAUUUUACGUCGGUUUCUUAUCUUACAGUGAGUCAAAUAUUUUAUUAGAGAGGCACUCAAUUUUGUUCAUUAUGAGACAAAUAACUUUUUCCUUUACGUCGGAUGACAGUAAAGAAUAUAGCACUGAUCCAAAAUUAAUGGAUAAUAAUCGACAUCAUGAGAUUACAGCCAUAUCCAUUGUAAGAUUCACGAAAUAGAUUUGAUGUUGGGUGGAUAUUCGACCAAUGUCAUCCGAAAAUUAAUAUUGUUUUGCGAAACAAAGCUUAAGCCAUGUGAUUUUAUCGAAUAUCCCUGAAGGAACAAGUUUAUACUACAUGAUGUCGAUCACGAAUGAAGGGUUUUUUGAAGUUGGUCAUUAGUUUUUAGAUGAAUACUAAGAAGAAAAAUUCUUAGUCUCUAAGAUUCAACAAUAUCAUUUAAAUCAGAAUUUUUUUUAUAUUUUUCUUUUUCUCCAUGAACAAAAGAAAAUUACAAUUGAAUAUGCAUGCAUAUAAUCUUAUCUUCCUCAAUUCCAUCACUUGGGGUUCGACGCACAACACAAUCCUCAUCAAGUUUUGAACAAGAAAAUUAACAAACCUGAAAAUUUAUCAAUUUUUCGCAAAUAUAAAGAACAUACCUAUAAUUGGUUUGUUGUAACACGAGGUUGAACAACUCAUUUGGCAAUAUUCACGAUUCUCGUUAUGAUGCGACUCGUUGCAUUCAUCUUCACAAGGUCGACGACAACCUAUGGAGCCACUGUCCGCGGCCGAAACUAUAUCAAUCAUUAACGCCGCUGUAAGACAUACGACGAUUAUAAUUGAUGCUACAGCUUUUGUACUCACCAUUUUAUAAUUUUUCUUUCUCCUUCUCCU